CGUAGGGUGCGAGCGUUGUUCGGAAUUACUGGGCGUAAAGCGUGCGCAGGCGGUUUUGUAAGACAGAUGUGAAAUCCCCGGGCUCAACCUGGGACCUGCAUUUGUGACUGCAAGGCUAGAGUACGGUAGAGGGGGAUGGAAUUCCGCGUGUAGCAGUGAAAUGCGUAGAUAUGCGGAGGAACACCGAUGGCGAAGGCAAUCCCCUGGACCUGUACUGACGCUCAUGCACGAAAGCGUGGGGAGCAAACAGGAUUAGAUACCCUGGUAGUCCACGCCCUAAACGAUGUCAACUGGUUGUUGGGUCUUUACUGACUCAGUAACGAAGCUAACGCGUGAAGUUGACCGCCUGGGGAGUACGGCCGCAAGGUUG
rnacentral:rRNA from 1 species